CCCUUAGAUGUCCUGGGCCGCACGCGCGCUACACUGAGUGUCUGAGAUACGAGUCUGCCUGGUCCGGCAAGGUCUAGGUAAUCGCUAAAAGACACAUCAUGCUUGGGAUAGAUUAUUGCAAAUAUUAAUCUUGAACGAGGAAUUCCUAGUAAGCGCAAGUCAACAGCUUGCGUUGAUUACGUCCCUGCCCUUUGUACACACCGCCCGUCGCUACGACCGACUGUUUCUGUCAAUGAAGCUGUAGGAUUUGGUCCUGGCCGGGCUUCACGGCCUGGCUGCGGCACUGGAGAUCACAGUUUAGUUGAUACGAAAUACAGGACGUAAAAGUCGUAACA
rnacentral:rRNA from 1 species